rnacentral:rRNA from 1 species
AUGAACGCUGGCGGCAUGCCUAAUACAUGCAAGUCGAACGAGGUCAAGGAGAGCUUGCUCGAGAUGACCUAGUGGCGAACGGGUGAGUAACACGUGGGCAAUCUGCCCGUAUGUCGUGGAUAACGGUUGGAAACGACAGCUAAUACAGGAUGAGCAUCCCGAAGGCAUCUUUGGGAUGUAAAAGGGGCUAAGGCCCCGCAUACGGAUGAGCCUGCGGUGCAUUAGCUAGUUGGUGAGGUAACGGCCCACCAAGGCGAUGAUGCAUAGCCGACCUGAGAGGGUGACCGGCCACAUUGGGACUGAGACACGGCCCAAACUCCUACGGGAGGCAGCAGUAGGGAAUUUUCGUCAAUGGGGGGAACCCUGAACGAGCAAUGCCGCGUGAGUGAAGAAGGUCUUCGGAUCGUAAAGCUCUGUUGUAAGAGAAAAACGGGCUCCAUAGGGAAUGAUGGAGAAGUGAUGGUAUCUUACCAGAAAGCCACGGCUAACUACGUGCC